GAAGAGAACUAUGUACUUUAAACUCGCUCAGAAUAACAGCUGUCUUUGGAAAGAUGAAGGACAUAGAGAACUGCUGAGGUCAGUGCUAAUGACAGCAAGCAACAUAUGUGCAAUAACCAAACCAUGGCCUGUUCAGAAGUGGAUGAGCUUCUCCCACACACAUUUACAUGCAUGCAUGCAGCUUGCUGAACUUGUAGCAACAGAAUUUUAUGCACAAGGAGACAGAGAAAAGUGUGAAUUCAACAUUCAGCCAAAUGAUAUGAUGGACUGUAAAAACUCCAUACAUUUACCCCACAUGCAGGUUGAUUAUAUCGACGGGAUUUGCUCUCCGCUCUGAGGCCUUGGCCAGCAUUUGUGAGUCCUGUUCCCCUCUAAAAGAAGGUUGCAGAAGGAACAGAAAACACUGGCAACAGCUGGUAGACAGCGGAGAGGAAGAAGAAAGGAUAAAUAUGAAAGGAAAAACAGAUGGAUAAAGGAAAGAAGCAAGUUAAAGCUAAACUCUUUUGGUGAACCAUGCAUAGAGUGGACCAGCAAGACUCAAAGUUGUAUCUGAUAUUCAGAUUAUUACUAUGUAUUAUGAAAUGAAAUCCAUUAAGCAUUUCUCAUUCACAAAGAUAUGAUUUUAACCCUCACUAUCUGGCUGCCUGUCAAGCCUAAAACAAAGAAAAAAGGAAAAACAUGAAGAAUUUAACUAAUCAGUUCAAUAAUAUGAAAGAGAUGCAAUUCAAUGCACAUUGUUGGUAAACAUAUAUCAACACUUAUAUAGUUUAACACAACCAGUCAUGUCCAUCUAUACUUGCCAUUCUUGAUUUUUAAAUGAGCCACUUACUUUAUGUUGGAAAUAUCACAAGUUACACAAGACUAGUUCCUGGUUGGCUUUGUCACACUUGUGAAACAUUACUAAAUCAUUUUAU